rnacentral:rRNA from 1 species
UACGAAGGGGGCUAGCGUUGUUCGGAAUUACUGGGCGUAAAGCGCACGUAGGCGGGUUGUUAAGUCAGGGGUGAAAUCCUGGAGCUCAACUUCAGAACUGCCUUUGAUACUGGCAACCUAGAGACUGGAAGAGGUUAGUGGAAUUCCCGGUGUAGCGGUGAAAUGCGCAGAGAUCGGGAGGAACACCAAUGGCGAGAGCAGGUAACUGGACUAUUACUGACACUCGGCUGCGAAAGCUAGGGGAGCAAACAGG